UACGUAGGGUGCGAGCGUUAAUCGGAAUUACUGGGCGUAAAGCGUGCGCAGGCGGUUCGCUGUGUCCGAUGUGAAAGCCCCGGGCUUAACCUGGGAAUGGCAUUGGAAACUGGCGGGCUUGAGUGCGGCAGAGGGGGGUGGAAUUCCGCGUGUAGCAGUGAAAUGCGUAGAGAUGCGGAGGAACACCGAUGGCGAAGGCAGCCCCCUGGGUCCCUACCGACGCUGGGGUGCGAAAGCAUGGGGAGCGAACAGG
rnacentral:rRNA from 1 species